rnacentral:lncRNA from 1 species
GAGGAGAGGCAGGAGAAAAUACGGCGCGCUCGGCAUCGUCCUUCUGACCGGGGACUCCAGCAUCUCAGUCAUCGCGUCACCAAGCCCCACGGACUAUGGAAAGACUACAUUUCUCAACCUUCCUAGUAGAUGUGAUGUCACCAGUCGGAAUUGGGCAGAAGAAUGUAUCACUUCAGUCCAAGGCAAUUAAGUCUCCGACCCUCUAGCCAAUAGAUGGCAUCUCCUGCCAGCCAAAUGAGUGAGCCAUCAACAGUAACCUGCCCAGCUGAGUCUUCAGGUAACUCCAGUCCUGGUGUGAUCGCAGUCACAUAAGCCAUUCAAACAACAGCAAUUUAUUUACGGAUUACCUACUCAGUUGGUGCCAAGCCUGGUUCUAGAUGCUGAAGACAGAGCCUAGAUCAAGAUUGACUUGGUCCUGGCUUUCCUGAAGUUCCCAGCCUGGUAGAAGAGACAUAAUAAACAACUAGCAAACACAGAAAUGUGAUUCUUUCUGGGAGUAUUAGGUGCUCUGAAAGGAAGAACAAGGGUGAUGUGAUAGACGCUGAUUGGGAUGGGAGCUUUUUCAGAUUGGAUGACAGGAAAGGUCUUCUGAAAUCUGCCUGGUAUGUAGGAGCUAGCCUCUAAAAGUUGUGGAGGAAGAGCACUAGGAGAGGGGUGCAGCCAGGGCAAAGCCUCCAAGGUGGGGCUAAGCUUGGCAGUGGGAUUUCAGUGCAGUGAAUAAGGCUAAAGAGUAGGAAGAGGUAAGAUCAGUGAUGUGGGCAGGGGCCAGAUCAAGCAGGGCCUUGAAGGCCAUGGUAAAGGGUUUGGUAUUUGCUUUGACUAUGCUGGAGAGCCUUUCAAGGGUUUUAAGCAAGAGGAACUUGAGAUGACUUAAGAUUUUUGUUUUUGUUUUUGAGACAGUCUUGUUCUGUUGCUCAGGCUGGAGUGCAGUGGCGCAAUCUU